CACCGUGUCAUCACACCUGUGUCAUUAAUACAACUAUGUGUGUGUGAUAGAGUUACUGAUGUACUGUAUCACCAUGUCAUCAAACCUGUGUACAGUCAUUAAUACAACUAUGUGUGUGUGAUAGAGUUACUGACGUACUGUAUCACUGUGUCAUCAAACUGUGUCAUUAAUACAACUAGGUGUGUGUGAUAGAGUUACUGAUGUACUGUAUCACCAUGUCAUCAAACCUGUGUACAGUCAUUAAUACAACUAUGUGUGUGUGAUAGAGUUACUGACGUACUGUAUCACCAUGUCAUCAAACCUGUGUCAUUAAUACAACUAUGUGUGUGUGAUAGAGUUACUGACGUACUGUAUCACUGUGUCAUCAAACCUGUGUACAGUCAUUAAUACAACUAUGUGUGUGUGAUAGAGUUACUGACGUACUGUAUCACCGUGUCAUCAAACCUGUGUCAUUAAUACAACUAUGUGUGUGUGAUAGAGUUACUGACGUACUGUAUCACUGUGUCAUCAAACCUGUGUACAGUCAUUAAUACAACUAUGUGUGUGUGAUAGAGUUACUGAUGUACUGUAUCACCGUGUCAUCAAACCUGUGUCAUUAAUACAACUAUGUGUGUGUGAUAGAGUUACUGACGUACUGUAUCACCGUGUCAUCAAACCUGUGUCAUUAAUACAACUAUGUGUGUGUGAUAGAGUUACUGACGUACUGUAUCACCAUGUCAUCAAACCUGUGUACAGUCAUUAAUACAACUAUGUGUGUGUGAUAGAGUUACUGAUGUACUGUAUCACCAUGUCAUCAAACCUGUGUACAGUCAUUAAUACAACUAUGUGUGUGUGAUAGAGUUACUGACGUACUGUAUCACCAUGUCAUCAAACCUGUGUCAUUAAUACAACUAUGUGUGUGUGAUAGAGUUACUGACGUACUGUAUCACUGUGUCAUCAAACCUGUGUACAGUCAUUAAUACAACUAUGUGUGUGUGAUAGAGUUACUGAUGUACUGUAUCACCGUGUCAUCAAACCUGUGUCAUUAAUACAACUAUGUGUGUGUGAUAGAGUUACUGACGUACUGUAUCACUGUGUCAUCAAACCUGUGUACAGUCAUUAAUACAACUAUGUGUGUGUGAUAGAGUUACUGACGUACUGUAUCACCGUGUCAUCAAACCUGUGUCAUUAAUACAACUAUGUGUGUGUGAUAGAGUUACUGACGUACUGUAUCACCGUGUCAUCAAACCUGUGUCAUUAAUACAACUAUGUGUGUGUGAUAGAGUUACUGACGUACUGUAUCACCAUGUCAUCAAACCUGUGUACAGUCAUUAAUACAACUAUGUGUGUGUGAUAGAGUUACUGACGUACUGUAUCACCAUGUCAUCAAACCUGUGUCAUUAAUACAACUAUGUGUGUGUGAUAGAGUUACUGACGUACUGUAUCACCGUGUCAUCAAACCUGUGUACAGUCAUUAAUACAACUAUGUGGGUCUUCCACAGCAUUCACAUGUAGUAGACAACCCACAUCAUCGUAACAUUUAAAUAAAUGAAGUUAUGAUAA